UUUGACUGGGGCGGUCUCCUCCUAAAGAGUAACGGAGGAGCACGAAGGUUGGCUAAUCCUGGUCGGACAUCAGGAGGUUAGUGCAAUGGCAUAAGCCAGCUUGACUGCGAGCGUGACGGCGCGAGCAGGUGCGAAAGCAGGUCAUAGUGAUCCGGUGGUUCUGAAUGGAAGGGCCAUCGCUCAACGGAUAAAAGGUACUCCGGGGAUAACAGGCUGAUACCGCCCAAGAGUUCAUAUCGACGGCGGUGUUUGGCACCUCGAUGUCGGCUCAUCACAUCCUGGGGCUGAAGUAGGUCCCAAGGGUAUGGCUGUUCGCCAUUUAAAGUGGUACGCGAGCUGGGUUUAGAACGUCGUGAGACAGUUCGGUCCCUAUCUGCCGUGGGCGCUGGAGAACUGAGGGGGGCUGCUCCUAGUACGAGAGGACCGGAGUGGACGCAUCACUGGUGUUCGGGUUGUCAUGCCAAUGGCACUGCCCGGUAGCUAAAUGCGGAAGAGAUAAGUGCUGAAAGCAUCUAAGCACGAAACUUGCCCCGAGAUGAGUUCUCCCUGACCCUUUAAGGGUCCUGAAGGAACGUUGAAGACGACGACGUUGAUAGGCCGGGUGUGUAAGCGCAGCGAUGCGUUGAGCUAACCGGUACUAAUGAACCGUGAGG
rnacentral:rRNA from 1 species